rnacentral:misc_RNA from 1 species
UUUGGAGUGAAUCCUCGAGGC